GUGUCAGCAGCCGCGGUAAUACCGGCAGCUCGAGUGAUGACCGAUUUUAUUGGGCCUAAAGCGUCCGUAGCUGGCCGCGCAAGUCUGUCGGGAAAUCCACCCGCUUAACGGGUGGGCGUCCGGCGGAAACUGUGUGGCUUGGGACCGGAAGGCGCGACGGGUACGUCCGGGGUAGGAGUGAAAUCCUGUAAUCCUGGACGGACCGCCGAUGGCGAAAGCACGUCGCGAGGACGGAUCCGACAGUGAGGGACGAAAGCCAGGGUCUCGAACCGGAUUAGAAACCCCUGUA
rnacentral:rRNA from 1 species